rnacentral:rRNA from 1 species
AGGGUGUAAACGCUGCGGGCUUGGUGUUGGGGGUCCUUUGAGGGCGCCCAGUGCCGGAGAGAAGUUGUUAAGCCUGCUGCUUGGGGAGUACGUCCGCAAGGAUGAAACUUAAAGGAAUUGGCGGGGGGAGCACCGCAACGGGAGGAGCGUGCGGUUCAAUUGGAUUCAACGCCGAAAAACUCACCAGGAGCGACGGAUAUAUGAAGGUCAAGCUGAUGACUUUACCUGAUUUUCCGUAGAGGUGGUGCAUGGCGUAGACGUCU